GGGAGGAUGGCCGAGCGGUUAUGGCGUGUGACUCAAGUGAAUUUCUCGAAAGUUCCUUGGCUUCUGGACAACAGGGGCUUGUUUUCUCAUGGGGAAACCCGCGUGGGUUCGAGUCCCACUCCUCUCA
rfam:Cladophialophora immunda strain CBS 83496 unplaced genomic scaffold supercont1.5, whole genome shotgun sequence.